GGAGCUCUGGCUCAGUGACAGAGCAUCUGCCUAAUAUGUAAAAGGUCCCCGGUUCAAUCCCUGGCAUCUCCA
rnacentral:tRNA from 1 species